GGGGCUGUAGUCGGUCCCAAGGGUUGGGCUGUUCGCCCAUUAAAGCGGUACGCGAGCUGGGUUCAGAACGUCGUGAGACAGUUCGGUCCCUAUCCGUCGUGGGCGCAGGAAAUUUGAGAGGAUCUGUCCUUAGUACGAGAGGACCGGGAUGGACAUACCUCUGGUGUACCAGUUGUUCUGCCAAGAGCACCGCUGGGUAGCUACGUAUGGAUUAGAUAAUCGCUGAAAGCAUCUAAGUGAGAAACUAACCUCGAGAUGAGAUUUCCCAUUCGUCAGAAGUAAGACCCCUGAGAGACGAUCAGGUAGAUAGGCUAGAAGUGGAAGUGUAGUGAUGCAUGGAGCGGACUAGUACUAAUAGGUCGAGGACUUAACCAAG
rnacentral:rRNA from 1 species